rfam:Salmo salar isolate Sally breed double haploid chromosome ssa10, whole genome shotgun sequence.
GGAUGACGUGUCAGAGUUUGGGGUUCCUAAUGGAAGUAUCCACUCUGCAUCAUUUCCUCCUCAUAUCUUCCUUGUAGGGUACAUAGUGGCCAUCCUGUAACCAAUUAGACAAGAUAUGCUCAAUUUGUUCAGCAUUUGGGCCGUGGUGCGGCCGGAAGCUUUGGCCUGAGGAUAUACGCAGCAGCUCUCGUUAAACUGAGGAUCUGAGAUAGUUUCUGACUUCACCAUCUGGAAUUCUAGUCUGGGGUUCUGCUAAAAGCUGCUGACCCACGAUUCAACUCUUAAACUCAG